rnacentral:lncRNA from 1 species
UCAAUCUUUCAGUUGUAUGGUGUCUUUAGUCAAGUUCGGUUCCUUCAGAUAUACAAACUCUUUCUUUGGUUGGGCUAACAGCAAAGCAGUGCCAGACACCAGAUGGAGAACCGUAAGGACAAAGGGUAAUAAAAGGGUAAACUGUUCAUGAAAAUAUUAUUAAACUUAUAUAUGAUGUCUUUUGAUCACAGGACGAUCAAAUUAUGCAUCACAUGGUAGUACAAUUCCUCGUCAGAAAAUGGUAAAAGAAAAAGGGUUCUAUUGCUUAUGGCGAAUUCACAUCGGGCCAUCCCGGCAUCCAGUACUGGAAAACAACGAGUACGCACUCCAUGGCAUUGGAUUCACAUCGGUCGGUCGGACGAUAUCUUGAUAUAUGUACGCGUUUGCAUUCGCAUGUAUAUAUAGGAGUUAACCGCUGGGGAAGAUUUACUGCUCCCAUGUCUCGAACUUGCCGGAGACGAAGUCGUAAUGGCCGCCGACGAGCUUGAGGGUUCCGUUGGACACACCCUCCUUGACGAACGGGUAGGUCAGGAGGUUCUGCAGGGACACGUUCACUGCCUCCUGAGGAAACAAUUCAGAAAUAUCUCUUGGUCAGCGUACCAAUCAGUUAGACAAACCACAUGCAGAAUUGUGGAGUCUGCAGUAUUGCUAAUAGGAGUACUGUAUGAGCAAAGUAGUAUGAGAUGGCAGAUGGGCAAUGUUGCGAACCUUUUCGAGGACGGUGCACUGGUCAUCGAAAGGCAUGGAGGCGCACUCAGUCUGCACCUUCUUCUUGGCCGGGAAGCCGAUCCUGACCCAGUCCUCGACGAAGUGGCUGACAAGACCAAUCAAAUAGACAGUCAGAAACUGAUCGGAGAGACGGUAGUAGCGCUAGUUGGAGUAAGAUGUGAGCCGUUAUACUCUAGUGGUACUUACAAGGAGUCGUCUGCGCCAUCCUUGAGUGAGAGCAGAGCCUUGAUUCCACCGCAGCGGCUGUGGCCAAUCACCACGAUGACCUCAACCUGCAGCCAAAAGUCCAUAUCAGGCCAUGCUCUAAAAUACUGUCAGUGCCCAUGUUCACUUGUUCUUAUACUAGUAGUUGGGUGACAGCAAAGUCCACUAGUGCAAUAAUGCAUUAUAGCACUCCUAUUUUAGAAGCGACAGCACCAGAGAAAGAAGAGAGAGGGAGGGAGGGAGUUGACCUUGAGAGCACAGACGGCGUAUUCGAUGGCCGAUCCAACACCGGCGUACUUGUUCUGUAGUUGACAAAAGAAGGGUGGGCAAAAAUAUCGUCAAUAAUGCACUUCGGGGAAAAGAAGAAAGAAAAAAAGAGGAAGAGGGAAACGGGGCGGGACCUUGCAGUAGGAGGGGACCAUGUUGGCGAUGUUGCGGAUGGUGAAGGCCUCGCCGGGCUCCAGGCCCAGGGUGACCGAUGGGCACACACGCGAGUCGGCGCACGCGAACACCAUGUACUGCACACACAAUCACCACCACCAGGUCAAUCAACCAAGAAAGAAAAGAAAAGAAAAGAUGCUCCACUAGUGCUAAGCAUAAGCACUGAAUCCACUUUGUGGGGUGUUAUAUUAGAGAGCAUUUCACAGUGGUUAGUGAUAAGCAGAUGGGUUGUUCAGCGCAUAAACAAAUAUAAGCAGAGGCGCUGAUAAUAAGCGUGAUAGGCGGAGUAGGCGGUUCCUUCUGACACACAGACGCACAGCUUUGCGCUAAAGGCUGCCGCUUUUGACCUGUCUCCGGCCCAACAUACCCACUUUUUAUCCAGAGGGGAGAGAGAGAGAGAGAGAGCGCGCAUGGCAUGCAGAGGGGCUCGCGAGAAGGAACCGGAGACCGUACGGUACAGGAGACAGAAAGGCGAGCAAAGCGAGUAGCGGGAAGGUUCCCUCCGUGCCACAGGCUUCUAUCUAUUCCAAACCAAAUUACCGACUAAACACAUGAUUAUGACGCGUGACAGUAGACCCGACCCGACGAAGGAGUUGAUUAUGGGCCAUGCCUGCCUUUGUGUGAGUUAUCAAGACAGGACCACCGGCGGUUUCUUCUGCAAGAAAUGAAGGCAGGCCCACACCCCGCAACUUGCUCCUCCGAUGGCGACACGGCGGAAGUACUACUGCAGGAUCUUUUCAUCCUGCAGUAGCAGAACUACUGUGGGAUGUGGCACGGAUGAUCAGAUGUGGAUCACAGUAUUACCGUCUCCCUGUACAGCAGCCUUUCGGCCUUAACCGAGCUCUCAGGUCAGGUAGUACUACUGCGAGACUCCGUGCUCGCAUAGGCCAACCUGAUUAAGAUAAGCAUAUGCCAAUCUCUAAAAGGAUACGGCCAAACAUAUGUAUGUAUGCGCCAAACUCUUUCGUAAAAGGCAGGCGCAAGGCUCCGUCCACACACGCAUUAAUCUGUGAUGGGUGGUCCACGGAUUGGUAACUCCGUGGUAGGGCCUGCUUAAUCAUGGAGUACCACGCAGAGCCGCAGCGCCAUAGCCAUACACUGCUAGCUCCAGCUAGCUAUGCCCUGUUCUCAGGUAGUAUCUCUUCUCUGCUUACAAUAAAUAAUACCCCGAGCUAGGACGGAGCAAGACUUGCCGCUCACGGUUCUUGUGCGUGGGGUCUGACGCGGCCGGUGCCAAGAUGAUGAAGCUUCCAUAUAAAUGGCCAUCAUCAAAAGACCUUCAUCUUCAACUCCGAUAGUGCGGAGUGACGGCCAUUUUUUCUCAAAGAAAAAAGGAUGGCAGCAACUGAGACGACUGGGAUCGAAAUUCAACACAGCCAGCCAAGGGAACCUCAACGACUGCAUUGGCAAGCACGCCAAUGGAGAAGAGAAUCCAGAGGAGAGGAAAAAUAAAAUGCUGCUUCUUGUACUUGCAAGAUUCUGAACGUCAAGUUAUCCUAGCUGCUAGGACAACAGAAAAGGGCGAAAAAGAACCAUAUUCUAAUACCACAAGACCACAAAGCGAGUGAUAGGGACGGUGACAUCUCAAUAAGCCAAAUCAUAUCAUGGCAUCGCAGUGCACAUGGGAGUCGUUACCGCGGCGCGAUCCGAUUUCCUGGAUGUGCACGACAGGUGGGGGUUUAUUCGGAGGGAGAUCCACAACUGUACUGGUUUCAGCUUGAGAUUGCCUACCGCCUAUCUUUGGUACGGUAGUGCAGUGGUGGUUGUCUUAACACAUAACCUAGUAUCAACUGGCCGGCAAUGGCGACAAGCUGUCCCCUGUUACGGUCAGGCCAUGCCAUGCAAUUAGGACAAGCGGCAGUUUUCUUUCAUCUACUUUGACCGCAUCAGGAAAUGCUAUGGGCACCCACAGAGUGUAUCCCGGAUUAUGCGCCGAACGGCAGGCUAAUGUGAACAGAGGAUUUCUUCCGCUGCUGCGCUAAGCAAAGGUAUUUCUCGAUCCCCAAAUCUACACAACAACUAGAGCAGUAGUAGCUGCUAGAGAGGAGACAACAUUUUAUGGCUGAAGCAAAUGAUGGGGUACAUACCUUGGGCGCCUGGCCGGCCUUGAGGGGCUCGAAGAAAUCGGGCUUCUUGCUGCCAAGAGGAAACGGAAACGGAAACGGACAGAGAAUCAGUUGAAGAAGAAGAAGACUCAAAUCGAACCAACCAAACCAUCAUAAGUCGAAGCAGCAGGACAGGAACAGGAUUGGUGGUGAACUUACUCGUAGACCUCGGUCUUGAACUUCUCGAACCCGGUCUUGAGGCGCUCCACGGCGGCGUCCAUCUGCAAGGGGAGGAGAGGAUCAACACCAAAUUAGUUGCCGUCGCCACACACGCGCGCACACACACACACACUCACAGCAGGAAGAAACAAAUAAACACUCGAUAUGCCAUGCGAAUUUCGAGAGACAGAGCUGUGCCCACGGAAAGGGAGAGCGUGCGCAAACAAAUUAAGGCGAUUCAAGAGGAUAACUAAAUGCUUUACAAGAAAAAAAGAAAAGCUGAAAGGGCAAGCUGUGAACUGAAUCGAAAGGGGGGCGGCGAAAAGGAAACGGAAAAAGAUGAGAUGGAUGGAUGGAUGGAGCAGUUUAUGGGUGGUGUGUGGGGGAGGGGGAGGGAGGAGGGAGACGGACCUUGUUGGAGGGUGGAGGAGGUGGUGGAUGGUAGGUAGGCUUCUGGAGGAGUGACGAGGAGGAAGAAUCUAUCGCUGCCGCCGCUGCUGCUGGGUUGUUCUCCCCACCGGGGGCGGAGGGCUUCUUAUAGCAGCAGGGGAGGCACAGGCAGCCGCUCAUCUUCAACUAUCGCGCUCGCGUUCGCGACUCUACUCUUUUGUUUUUUCUCUCCUCUCCCCUGACGGAUUACUGGUAAACAUGGCACGUGGAAAGAAGAAGGCAACGAAAGAAGUUAGCAAAGGAGGGCUGGCUGGCUUUGUGGCCAAAUGGCCGAUCACAAUGGCAGCAGCUCUCUUUCUUUUGGUAUGUUUUGAUCAGAUCAUUAAGCCCGUGAAUUCAUGGUGACCGGACAUCCUUAUCUUUAUCCUUUUGGAGUACUACUUUAUGUAGUAUAAUGUUAUUAUUCAUGGAAUCAAAUAAAUACCAGGAAAUGCUUCUAGAGAAAGCUUGUACAGUACUGUACUGCGAAACAAGGAACACGGUAGCUGGCGCGUGAUGCAAUUGCCACUAGGUCUAGAGUGUGGACACGGUUCACAAGUCAAAGCAUAUGCAGGUUGGACAUGCCUUCAAUUGUGUCCUGCCUGCCUAGUGCCUAGUGGAGCAGUACUAUCUCAGAUCCCCAGAAGCGCUUGCCCAGGUGCAUGAGGUGAACUUCGCAAAAAAGAAAGGUGCAUGAGGUGAAGGUGGGCCUGGGGUAGUCACCGGCUCCCGGAUCCAAGGACAAUUGGCAAGAAGAAAAUUGGCAAUUGGUAAUGUGCUGGGCUCCUCUACUCAACCAACGUCGGGUACGCUAAUUCCAGAUGCUGGGGCCGCGGAAGGGCCGCCCGGCCACGAGUUCCACCUGCGGGGCCACCUGAAUUGACGCCUCUAUCCCACCCGUACCAACUGCCGAGACCACCGCUUCCUGAAUUAUUGGAACCUUGCUCCCUCCCUCCCUCCCUCCCUCGUCCUCAGUCGACCGACGAGCCCUCCUGAAUCUCCGCCACUACUCCUUCCGGCCCGCGUCUGCUGCCCAAAGCAGUCGCCGAUCGAAGUCCAACGGCAACUGCUUGCUCUUUUUUUCUUUAACGGCGUUUCUGCUCUCUUUUUUACAUGCAUGGAGCAUGAUGUAUGAUGCCAACUAAUAUUUGUGCCCAUUCUUUAGAAUGAACUACUAAUAAGAUUAAAGCAUUUUUUUUCCGAGAGAAGAUUAAAACAUUGGGACGACAUGUAUGUAGGAUUCUUUCGUUGUUGACAUCCCAGCUGGAGAAACUGGAUAUGGUACUGCAACCACACAUGGUUGAGGGUUGCAAUCAGCUUCAAGCUCUGCAUCACAUCACUACGUGUAGCGUUGUGACGUUGAUAUCAACAAAAAAUCAGGCCUCCUCCUACAGGCUAGCGGUAACAAAGUUUGGUUAGAGGGACUGUGGUAUUCCCAGCCCAUCAGGUUUCAAGUCCUGAUGCUCGCAUUUAUUCUUGAAUUAUUUCAGAAUUUCUGAUGAUGCGCAUUCAGUGGGAGGAUGGCGAUGCGCAUUCAGUGGAAAGAGACGUUCUCGUCGACGACGAGGUGCCUACGGUGACUUCAUAAAUUUCAAGAUGAUAUGUCGGCUCAGUCUUUCCGAGGUGCUCGUAGAGGUAGGGUGUGUGUGCGCGCAUUCAUAGGGGUGAGUGUAUGCACGUGUAUAUGAGCGUUGCGUCUCUACUGUGUUAAAAAAAAUGUGAUUAACACGUUUUUAUGUACAAUUUCCUAUGUAAAAGUUUGGUAAUGCACUUACUCUUUGUUUCCUUGAAAUGAAAUAUUAAUAUAAAUAUGAAGAUUUGUUGUAACAUUCGAGUUGGAUUAAGUGUAGUAGUAGCUUGCAUAGGUGGUGUUUGAAAACUCGAAAAGAGGGAAAAUGGGAAGCUGACCGAGUGGAUGACCUAGUCGUUAUUUCUGCAAGCCUUUUCUAUCGGAAGUCAAACUACUGCUCAACAUCAAGACAAAGGAUGGACAUCUUUCUCCAAGAAUCAAGAGAAUGGAAACAUUGAGUAGACCUAGCUUAGGAGUACCUUACUUACUUAGAUAAGCUAAAGUAACAACUGCCUUAACGACUCCAUAGUUAACGCGUUUUAUGUAGAUUCUUUGAUAUAAAAGUUUGAUAUUUCUGCACUUACUCUUUGUUUUAUUGAAAUAAAUGAAGAUUUGUUAUACCCUUCGAGGUGGAUUUAGUGUAGUAACUUGCCUUGGUGGUGUUUGAAAACUCAAAAAGAGGAAAAUAGGAAGCUUCUUAUAUCCAAAAAAAUAAAAUAGGAAGCUGACGGAGUGGAUGACCUAGUCGUUAGUAUUUCUGCAAGCUUUUGAGAAUCAAAGUCAAACUACUUAACAUCAAAGCCAAAGGAUGGUCAUUUUUCUCCAAGAACCAAGAGAGUGCUAGAAACAUAGAGUAGACCUAGCUUAAUUGGUGUCCUUUCAGUCUUAGCAAUAAUGCCCGAUAGACUCCACCUUAUCGCUUUAAGGAAAAGCUGCCGCUACAUGUUUAUGCACUAGUAUAAACUUUGUCCUGUACACUUGAGACUUUGUGGAGUUAUUUUCAAUCCAGAGCACAUUAUUGUGUUAAAUUAACAUUAUCGCUGGCCACCUCUCUGGAAACCCGUUCAUGUUCAUCCCACAUAUUCUAUCCAGUUUGUUGACAUGCAUGUUGAUGGUGGAUGCAGAGAGGACUAAAAACACAAUGCCUUUGUCUGUUAGAUCCACAUAUAUAAUAUUCAAUGAUUGCUUUUGCAUAAAUAGAAAAGGUUGCAAGAGUAUAGGAGAUCAUGGCGAUAUGCAAGCCCCAUGUGCAGAGCUGGUCAACUGUACAGCAGUAAUGCGUUUUGAUUUUUUGAGCUCGAAAACAAGGUGCAUUUGGUUCAGCCAUCACAUGCAUUUUGGUUGCCGUUCUCCCAUAUUUCGGGAAGAAGAUCUAGGCAUGUGGCGUGGAGCAAAGGGGCCCGUGACCCACGUACGUCGUUCCCAAAACAGCAAAGGACACGCCAUGAUGCCAAACUUAGCUAAGCUUAACAAGGGCUGUGCCGGCCGGAUAGAGGAACGAUAUGCAUGGUGCAUGCAGCUGCGAACGUGCGUAGUAGUACGUACCAAUGCGGGUGCGACGGGCGCGGCCUGGACGGGGGUGUUCCUGAUGAGCUUGGGGCGGAAGGAGGAGGAGUUGGAGGGCGCGGGGGUGCCGAGGCUGGCGACGAUGGUGGAGGAGCGGGCACGGGGCGCGACGGUUGCGUAGCACCAGUUAGCCGCGGCGGUCGACAUUGUGCAGAUGGGCAGUGCCUGCUGCCCUCCUUAUACGCGCAACAAAUAGUGCGGGGAGCGCGUGCGUGCGGACAAACGCCCUAGGGCCCGGGUGCGAGGCGCGCGGCGGCGUGCGGCUCGGCACGGCCGGUGGAUGCCGGCCACUGGCACCGGGCGCCCUCAUCCCCCCGGCGCCACACCGGAUAGGCUCGCGAUAACGCGACGCUGGAUCGUGGCCAACGGUUCGCAAGGCACGGAUCCUGGUCCACACGCGGGAGGAUGGGGCCGGGAAAUCAAGGAUUUGAAUGCGCGGCGUUGGGGAGGUGGGAGUACGGUUGAGAGAGAGAGAUGGAUGACGAUGUGGACGUGGGUGUAUGCCGCUACCUGCCUGUGCUGGCGGCCUCCGCCGCCUAUCAAUUGUCAAAGGCUGGGCUUGGGCCUGGGCCGACGGUGAGGUGUGGUCGCGAUGAACUGGGUGAAGUGUGAUCAGGAGGAUGUGCUCAGAAAAAGAAGGGUGUGAUCAGGAUGUGCUCAGUGAAUCAUUAGCUCUGGUAAAAAUCUUCUACGUCAACAAAGGGAGAGAUAAGGCCAACUCCAACGGGGCGUGGAAGCGGUUUUGAUCUUAUUUUGUCCGUUUGAAUCGGUCAAGGAGGCGGUGUCCGGCCGCGCCUGUGUUUUCGUGUGCAGUGCGCUCAAUCGGUUGAUCCAUUUGGUCCGCCCGGCCGGUCGGCGGCAAAAUAUGCACAACAUUUUCAUGCAUAUAUCUAAACUAACAUUACACAACCAAAUACAUCACGUAGUUUUACAUGACAAUAUUAAAUAGUUUAUAACCAAAUAAAAAUUUCAUAAUUUACAAUCAAGUUUAAAUUGUCAAAAAUACAUUGGAAGAAAAGGAACCGAUGCAUCUAUCGGUUGCCAAGGUGAGUCCACAUGUGCUCAACCAAAUUAUUCUGGAGUUGGACGUGAGUUGCUCAAUCACGUAUCUCUAUGAAAUUGGGUAAAGUCUUGUGCUUGAGCAAACCUAGCCUUCUUCUCUCCUACCGGAUUGGAGAUUGUCUUAAUAAGAGUUGACCAAUGAGGAUAGAUACCAUUAACUAGAUAGUAUCCUUUGCUGUAGUGGUGGUUAUUGAGUUCAAAGUUCAACUCUAGGCAAUUGCCUUCUGCAAGCCUUCCAAAUAUCGGAGAGCAUUGAAGCACGUUGAUGUCAUUGUGACAACCAACCAUACUUAAAAAAGAGUGCCAAAUCCAAAGAUCUUGUGAAGCCACAACUUCAAAGUAUGAAGUGCAAGCUUUCACCUGCCCCUUAGAUUAUCCCUGCCAAGCAAAUGGACAGUUCUUCCACUUCCAAUGCAUAUGAUCUAUGAUACAAGCAUUCCUGAAAAGCCUCUCUCUACACUGAUCGCUAACAACUGGCUUGUAUCUAUUGCAUUUGGCUCUCUCAAAUAUUCCGAGCAAAACACUGCUACCACAGCCUUGUGGAACUUGUACAAUGAUGCAAGGCAUGUGGAAUCACUCGUGCGGAGAUACUCAUCAACAAGAUCACCGGGAAUUCCGUAUGCAAGCAUCCCAACAGCCGUAGUGCAUUUUCAUAUAAGCGGAGAAGCCAACCAUUUCAAGGGAAUCAUCUUUUCAUCUAAAGUAAUCAUAAUGCGCCGUCACUCCCUCCCAAAUACGAUUGAACAUCUGGAAGCGGUGUUGGAAAAAGCUUAAUUAGGAUUGAAGAGUGGGGACGUGCACUGAAAGUAGUCGGGGAAGAGUAGGCAAUGUCCGCUCCCUCUAUUGUGAUUCAACGCGGCGCAUGGCCUGGAAUGGAUCCCAUGAAUCUCAGCCGCUGCCUAGCAAUGUGCUCAUUGACGAUCAAAGUAGCAACCACAAAAUCUUCACCAUCCCACGACGAAUCAUCCGAAUCACAAAUGAAGUUGUUGAAAAAGAAUUCAUCCCCACUAGCCAUUGUACCUUGAAGCGCCGAACACCUUUUGGCUUUGGUGUAGUAGUGGCUGGUGAAGAGCCACGCACCCUCACCGUACAAGCAGCAGGCCUAUUGAAGGGGAGGAGAGUGCGGCCGGCGGCCAUGGAGCCGAGGCCGGUGGAAGUGGAGAGGAGGUCAGUGCUAGCGACCGUGGCUUCCCUGGCACCAACAGUGGCGAGAAGAGGGCACCAACGCGGCAAGAAUGUGCCUCGGAUGCGACGUUGAGGUGGAGGAGUGGGUGGAUGCGAGAGGAGGUCUGGGAGCGUCCAAGCGGCCGGAAGUGGGCGGCGGCGAGGGCGAAUGGUGUUGGGUAUGGAGGGGGGAGAAUGCCAUACGUGCCACCGAUGGGCAAGCCAGUGAGAGCACAAGGACAGGCAUCGUGCGCAUCAGCGCCUGCGCAAACCUUGGCCAAAUUUGGGCCGGAAAUGGUUCGCGGGCGGACGAAAAGCGGACGCUUGUUAGUUUGGGUCGCCGCGUUGGACCGUGAUUUAUGUAUGUUUCGACCCAAACAGACGUGGACAGACCAAAUGCAAUUGCACGUUGGAUAUGGCCUAAUUUUGGGAAGUGGUUAUUUUUCCAUUUCGUCUAUCCUCCCGCUCUACGGAAAAAGGAAAAAUAGAUGCUUUAUUAGAAACUAUAAACUAAGAACUAAAACAAAAGUGUGGAAGGCUGGCCUCUUCCAUGUAUCUUUACUCCUCAGAUCGGGCACCUCUUGUUAGGCUAGUGGCUAUUGCGCCUUGUUAGUGACUUUAGUCACACCUUGUUAUGAGGUAGGCUAUGACAAUCGUAUAAGUGAGAGUGCCACGCUCUAUUCAGACUAGUCUUUUGGGUUGUGGUGAGCUCUCCGCUUAUAGUGGUGUGUCUCAUACGCAUCGAAAACGUCCAAAUGACCCAAGGGCUAGUACCACCUUAAAAGGGAGAGUGCCAAACUCACUUCAGGCUAGUCUUAUGGGAUAUGAUGGACCCUCCACUUAUAGUGGUUUGUCCAAUGCGUAUCAGAAACGCCCGAACGUGGGACAUAGGUUGGGAGUUGGGCCUGGGACACUAACACUCAUUUGUUUUGUUCGUGCAGGUUUUAUUUUCAUAACAAAGUUAGCUUUAGUUUUUUUCCUCGCAACUCAAGUUGGACGUAGGAAAAAAAACACAAAACAAGCUUCUCAUAGAUGAGAUCAUUUUCACCUAGGCUGCUCAUGGAUAGCAUCACCGUCACCAGGUCCUACCAUCAAAACCGGCCACACCCUACCCCGACGCUGCCCAAAGCCACCUUCGAACCAUGCUACUCCUUUCCUCACCUCGGUGCCGCCACAUGCCGCCCCCUCACCCAACAUUACCCAAAGCAGCUCGCGUCUCCCUCACCCUAGUUGAUGCCGCCAAACACCACCUUCACCAACAUCAGGGUUUCAAGCAUACUUGGUUAGGGGCCAAAAUUGGCUUGCUAUCAUUUGGCCAGUUAAAAAAUUGCCAAAAAUCAACAAGUUUUUAGGCCGGCAAAGGAAGUUCACAGCCAACCAAUUGGUAGCCAAUUUUCCAAUAUAUUGUUCUUAUUUUUGGAAUUUCAUUAGCUAUGAUCCAAUUUAUACCCAAUGCAAACAUGAGAUAUAUUUGAGAUAACUAAGAGCAAGAAAACAGUGAAAGUGGUAAGUAAAGCGAAAAGCAAUCAACAAAUGUACUUACUUGUUUCCUUGAGAACUAAGCCCUUCGAGUUCAAAUCACCAGUUGCAUAUGGCACUUGGCUCAUCUGCUAAGCGUUCUUCCAUAACUUUGACACCGUCUAGAGAUAAGGUGUUCAGGUUUAUCUCAUUGCCUGCAAAGUUGCACAAGCAAGUCUAAAUAAAGCAGCCCCGAUGAGUAAAUUUAUAUUACUACUCAUGUUCCCCUCGAAGUUACAAAUUCAGAAAGCAACCCAAUUUUCACAUGUCAAUCAUUAUGCAUCACGUACAACUUAGGUUCUAUUGAAAAUUGUAAGAAUCAACAAAACUUCAAAGGGUUUCUUAUACAUACUAUUACCAUCCAGAAUAUGACGUUUAAAUCAAAUUGGUUAAUAUAAAGCAGACAGACAUAUCAACAAAAAGUAUGGAGCAAGAAUAGAAAUCAAAAUAUAUAUACAUUGUGCAAGAUUCUUCUAUUGACAUUGGGUUGGCACUUAAGCAAUCAUACAAAUCUUCAAGCAACAACGGGCAUUCAAACUUAUGCACCAAGCACACUGAGAAACUGGAGGAGGGUAUCAAGAUUUCAUAUGUGUACCCAUAACACACACUGUAACAAACAAAUUUUUUUGUAUUGCCGAAUUGUUUCAUGUUAUAGGGUGUUUUCACUUCCUUUCAAGUACAUAGAAUUGUUAAGCGGAGGAAAUUGCACAUUCGAGAGAUAUAUGUGUCGGUGUGGAACAACACCUAUGGGAUCACAAGAAUCCCUACUACGGUUGCCGGGGCGCGGGGUUGCAAGAAGAGCAGGGCUAGUAGACAGCACAAGGGUCGUUUACCCAGGUUCGGGCCGCGAGGAUGCGUAAAACCCUAGUCCUGCUUUGGUGGGUGUAUUUCAGAGAGUUCUUGAGCUCUCGAACAAGCUGUGGUCAGUGCGUGGUUCAAAAGAGCCGAAUCCCUCUCCAGUAUGCCAUGGGCCUUCUUUUAUAGUCGAAAGGGGCUGCCACAGUGGCACACAGGAGGUGGAAAGGCGUACAGUGCCCUGAGCUUAUCGCUCGUAUUAUAGGGCAAGACGCAUUUAAUGCGUAGCUUAGGUGUCCCCUUGCUUUAUUGGGGAGCGGGCGAGGCCCGUCCCGUCCGUCGCCGCUCCUCCUCGCUUUGACACGCGCCCUGGCCAGUGAGGCACGUGGUGCCAUGUAGGCAGGCAGGUAGCUGAGGUGGUGCAGUGGCGGAGCCUUCACGAAGAUCUGCAUGCCGCCACGCAGGCGCUCGAUGAGUUGGCCUGGGAGCUGCAUGUUGCCACGCAGGUGCCCGCCCAGCUGGUUGGGCUGACAGCUGCAUGUGAACGGCGGUGGAAGCUUGGCUGGCGUGGGCCUGGUGGUGACCCUGCUGGCGUCCUUGGUGAGGGCCUUGCCGGGUGGCCCGGCAAGGGUCUUGCCGUGUGGCCCGGCAAGGGUCUUGCCGUGGCGCGCUGUCGUCCCCGACAAGGGCCUUGUCGGGGGUCUGGUGGCCUUCCUCGGCAGGGAUGUUGCCGAGGAUCGUCGUCUUCUAAUCCUCAUCUGAUCUUGAAUAUGUCUUCACAAAGAUCUGCAUGCCACCACGGAGGUGCCUCCCGAGCCCUGGCCCAACGUGAUGUUGGAGACCGUGGGCUCAAGGGUGGCCCGCUCUGUUGGUGCGGGGCGAGCUGUCCCAGCAAGGAUCUUGCCGGGGCUGCUGAGGCUGCCCCGGCAAGGGUCUUGCCGGGGGAACCUGCUUCGUCCCUCUGCUCUUUAUGGUCUUGGCGUUGCUCUUAUUAUCUUUGGCUUUAGUCUUACCUUGGCUCACCUCCCCGGUUCUGCUUGGCGUGAUCAUAGGCGCGGCUUCGACUGCCCGUGCACAGGUAUAGUGGUACAAAAACGCACCCCUCUUUUUGUACACUGACAGGAGCCCCCGGGCCUGGGCCACACAUAAGCGCGACACGUUGUUGGGCCAGGCCCAAAACAGUGCGCGGGCAGGCGGGGCGGUUUUUACCGCGGUAAAACUUUUCGUGCGUUGCGCUUCCCACGACCCGCGCGCGCGGCGCGGCGUGGAGGGGUGUGAGUGACGUGGGCGGCAUGCAUGGGGCGGUUUCCACAUGCAUGCGUCAUAUCGCAGUAAAGAGGCGGCUCGUGGCUUCCCCGUAAAAAGAGGGAGGCGUGGAGGCGCGGCUCAUUUACUGAGCGGGGCCGGGGCGCGGUUUUCAAGGCGUCCACUCCCCACGAUCACGGGGUGGGGAGAGGUCGCUUCGCCCGUCCCCUCGGUUCUGCACGUCCACCACGCGUCCUCCAUGCACCUGGGGUGGCAAGCGGUGGAGGCGGGAAACCGGGCCGUCGCUGGUUGGGACAGCGGGUUGGUCUUGAUUCCCCGUGCCUUUGGUGGCUGGAUUGGCCGAGCGGGGCGGCCGAGCCCCGUCCCCGCCUUCUUAUAAGGAGGGGGAAGGGGGGAAUGGCGUCCCGCACUCUUCCAUCAUCUAUCUCUUCUCGCUUCUGCUUCUUCCUUUCACUCGCCAUGGAGAAGGGGAAUCCUGGUCCCUCGACGGUGGCGGCGAGGGUCGCCGCCCGACAGCGCGUCCCUCCUCCUCCUGAGCCCGCGGUGGUGGAACCGGCCGCGAGGGGAAGGGGGAGGGGGUGAGGUCGUGGGCGAGGCCGGGGCAGAGGUCAUAGUGCUCGGGGAAGAGGAGGACGGGGCGGCGCGCCGGCUUCGCCCCCGCCAAUGAUGCCUUUUCCAAUGGAAGGCCAUGUCGGAGGCCAGCCCCGUGAGUUUUUCAUCAGGCUGCGCCGGCCUCCGCGUCGCCGUCUUCGUCUUCCUGCCCCGUUCGCUCGGGAGAUGGAGCGUGAUCCGCCCCAGUCCCUUAGAUUGCACAUGAGGGGUAUGGGAAUGGGGGCACGCAGGUCGACGUCGACUUCCCGGCUCCUCGGGUCAUGUACCUCCGUCGUGGGUGGAAGACAUUCGCUCGCAUCCACAGCCUGACGGCGGGGCUCGUCCUCUACUUAAAAUUAAUGGAGGACGGCCUGCUCUCCGUCAAGGUCUUCACCGACUUCGGGAUUCGCCUGAAAUGCUGCAUGGAGAGCUCCUCCGAUGGAGAUUCCGACGAUGGAAGCUCUACCUCGAGCGAAAGUGAUGAGGAGGACAGCGGGGCAGACGGCGGGGACGAGUCCGACUAGGCGUUGGACGCCCCGCGCCUGGGCGGGUGCGGCAGCAGCAACAUC